UACGGAGGAUGCAAGCGUUAUCCGGAAUGAUUGGGCGUAAAGCGUCCGCAGGUGGCUAUGUAAGUCUGCUGUUAAAGAGUCUAGCUCAACUAGAUAAGAGCAGUGGAAACUACAUGGCUAGAGUGCGUUCGGGGCAGAGGGAAUUCCUGGUGUAGCGGUGAAAUGCGUAGAGAUCAGGAGGAACACCGGUGGCGAAGGCGGCUACCUGGACAGAAACUGACGUGAGGCGCGAAAGCUAGGGGAGCAAACAGG
rnacentral:rRNA from 1 species